CCUACGGGAGGCAGCAGUGGGGAAUUUUGGACAAUGGGCGAAAGCCUGAUCCAGCAAUGCCGCGUGCAGGAAGAAGGCCUUCGGGUUGUAAACUGCUUUUGUACGGAACGAAACGGUCUGCUUUAAUACAGUGGGCUAAUGACGGUACCGUAAGAAUAAGCACCGGCUAACUACGUGCCAGCAGCCGCGGUAAUACGUAGGGUGCGAGCGUUAAUCGGAAUUACUGGGCGUAAAGCGUGCGCAGGCGGUUAUAUAAGACAGUUGUGAAAUCCCCGGGCUCAACCUGGGAAUUGCAUCUGUGACUGUAUAGCUAGAGUACGGUAGAGGGGGAUGGAAUUCCGCGUGUAGCAGUGAAAUGCGUAGAUAUGCGGAGGAACACCGAUGGCGAAGGCAAUCCCCUGGACCUGUACUGACGCUCAUGCACGAAAGCGUGGGGAGCAAACAGGAUUAGAUACCCUGGUAGUCCACGCCCUAAACGAUGUCAACUGGUUGUUGGGUGCAUUAGUACUCAGUAACGAAGCUAACGCGUGAAGUUGACCGCCUGGGGAUCGGCCGCAAGGUUGAAACUCAAAUGAAUUGACCGGNUGAGAGAGCGAGACGACGACGAGGGAGGAGG
rnacentral:rRNA from 1 species